AACUAUAACAGGUCCUGCCCAGAUAAAUUCAACGCGGUAUCCUGACCGUGCAAAGGUAGCAUAAUCAUUUGCCUUUUAAUUGAAGGCUAGUAUGAAAGGACACACAAGAAUAAAGCUGUCUCACGUGGGCCGCUACAAUCUAAUAUUUAGGUGCAGAAGCCUAAAUCUACAUAAAGGACAAGAAGACCCUAUAGAGCUUUACUGACAAAAGUUAUUACACUUUACCUCAGUUUGGUUGGGAUAACCAAAAGACACUACUACCUCUAUUAACACAACUAAUACCCCCACCCAUUAAUGAAUUAGAAAGCUACCUUAGGGAUAACAGGCUAAUCCUACUAAAGAGAUCACAUUGACAGUAGGGGUUGGCACCUCGAUGGCUUAGUGUAACCCUCAGGCGCAGCCGCUUGAGAGAGUUGGUUUGUUAAACCAUUAAAUCACU
rnacentral:rRNA from 1 species